rnacentral:lncRNA from 1 species
UAAUACAAAAAAAAAAAAAGCUCUCUCUCCAACUGGCAAAGGAACACUGGCUUUUUAAGCUGCAGAAGGAGUCGGUAAUUGCAGACAGCUGUAUCCGCUGACGAGAGGGCGGGGUCAGAGCUCUAAUCUGCAAUGGGGCAGACCAAUCAGCUGCUUGGAAUCCAGGAAGCCAUCCUGAAACAUAUACACAUACAUACAAACCCACAACACAGAAACUGGGGAAUGUAACAAGUGUGAACUGUAUUACUGUGUUGUAUUAUACUGUACUAUAUGGACUGGAAUUAUGCACAUUGUUCAAACCAUGAUAAAACUGAAAGAACAUAUGAUUCUGGUGCAGCACAUGUGGCCUGCAAAGUUACAAGUAUAGGCUAGCAUAUUAUUAUUCAAAUAUUUUAUUUAUUUUUUCUCCACAAUUUUCAUCUUGUCUCAUCGCUACAACUCCCCAACGGGCUCAGGUGGUGAAGGUCGAGUCAUGAGUCCUCCAAAACAUGACCCGCGAAACCGCACUUCUUAAUGCCCACUUAACCCAGAAGCUAGCCGCACCAAUGUGUCAGAACACCGUUCAACUGACAACCGAGGUCAGCCAGCAGGUGCCCAGCCCGCCACAAUGAGUCGCUAGAGCGCAAUGAGCCAAGUAAAGCCCCCCCGGCCAAACCCUCCCCUAAUGACGCUGGGCCAAUUGUGUGCCGCCCAAUGGGACUCCUGAUCGCGUCCAGUUGUGAUACAGCCCGGGAUCGAAACCAGUGCCUUAGACUGCUGCGCCACUCGGGAGGCGCCGCAAAUUUGAUUUUAAUUUUGAAGUCAAUCACUGCAUUCUUAUUGGCAGACUCAACAGCCUUGGUUUCUCAAAUGACUGCCUCGCCUGGUUCACCAACUUCUUCUCAGAUAGAGUUCAGUGUGUCAAAUUGGAGGGCCUGUUGUCCGGACCUCUGCGGCAGUCUCUCUGGGGGUGCCACAGGGUUCAAUUCUCAGGCCGACUCUUUUCUCUGUAUAUAUCAAUGAUGUCGCUCUUGCUGCUGGUGAUUCUCUGAUCCACCUCAACGCAGACGACACCAUUCUGUAUACUUCUGGCCCUUCUUUUUAACAAACCUCCAGACGAGGUUCAAUGCCAUAGAACACUCCUUCUGUGGUCUUCAACUGCUCUUAAAUGCAUGCUCUUCAACCAAUCGCUGCCGGCACCCGCCCGCCCGACUAGCAUCACUACUCUGGACAGUUCUGACUUAGAAUAUGUGGACAACUACAAAUACCUAGGUGUCUGGUUAGACUGUAAACUCUCCUUCCAGACUCACAUUAAGCAUCUCCAAUCCAAAAUUAAAUCUAGAAUUGGCUUCCUAUUUCGCAACAACGCCUCCUUCACUCACGCUGCCAAACAUACCCUCGUAAAACUUACCAUCCUACCGAUCCUUGACUUCGGCAAUGUCAUUUACAAAAUAGCCUCCAACACUCUACUCAACAAAUUAGAUGUAGUCUAUCAUACUGCCAUCCGUUAUGUCACCAAAGCCCCAUAUACUACCCACCACUGCGACCUGUAUGCUCUCGUCGGCUGGCCCUCGCUACAUAUUCGUCGCCAAUCCCACUGGCUCCAGGUCAUCUAUAAGUCUUUGCUAGGUAAAGCCCCGCCUUAUCUCAGCUCACUGGUCACCAUUGCAACACCCACCCGUAGCACGCACUCCAGCAGGUAUAUUUCACUGGUCAUCCCCAAAGCCAACUCCUACUUUGGCCGCCUUUCCUUCAAGUUCUCUGCUGCCAAUGACAGGAACAAAUUGCAAAACUCACUGAAGCUGGAGACUUAUAUCUCCCUCACUAACUUUAAGCUUGAAAUUGAUAUUUAUUCUUUCUCUUUUGCACCCCAGUAUCUCUACUUGCACAUCAUCAUCUGCAUAUCUAUCACUCCAGCGUUAAUGCUAAACUGUAAUUAUUUCACCACUAUGGCCUAUUUAUUGCCUUACCUCCCUAAUCUUACUACAUUUGCACACACUAUAUAUCGAUUUUUGUUAUUGUGUUAUUGACUGUACGUUUGUUUUAUCCCAUGUGUAACUCUGUGUUGUUGUUUUUGUCGCACUGCUUUGCUUUAUCAUGGCCAGGUCACAGUUGUAAAUGAGAAGUUGUUCUCAACUGGCCACCUGGUUAAAUAAAGGUAAAAUAAUAAAAAUAAAUUAAAAGUAUAAUAGGGCCUAUUUGUAUUAUUGCUAGGUUUACACAUACAGUGCAUUCGGAAAGUAUUCAGACCCCUUUACUUUUUACAGCCAUUUUCUAAAAUUGAUUAAAUAAAUAAAAAUGUAUGAUCAAUCUACACACAAUACCCCAUAAUGACAAGGCAAAAAAACGUUUUUUUGAAUUUUUUCAAAUGUAUUAAAAAUAAAAAACAGAAAUACCUUAUUUACACAGGUAUUCAGACCCUUUGCCCCGAGACUCGGAAUUGGCCUCAGGUGCAUCCUGUUUCCAUUGAUUGGAGUCCACCUGUCGUAAAUUCAAUUAAUUGGACAUGAUUUGGAAAGGCACACACCUGUCUAUAUAAGGUCCCACAGUUGACAGUGCAUGUCAGAGCAAAAACCAAGCUAUGAGGUCAAAGGAAUUGUCCGUAGAGCCUUGAGACAGGAUUGUGUUGAGGCACAGAUCUGGGGAAGGGUACCAAAAUUAUUUCUGCAGCUCUGAAGGUCCCCAAGAACACAGUGGCCUCCAUCAUUCUUAAAUGGAAGAAGUGUGUAACCACCAAGACUCUUCCUAGAGCUGGCCAACCGGCCAAACUGAGCAAUCGGGGAAGAAGGGCCUUGGUCAAGGAGGUGAACAAGAAACAGAUGGUCACUCUGACAGAGCUCCUCUGUGGAGAUGGGAGAAUCUUCCAGAAAGACAACCAUCUCUGCAGCACUCCACCAAUCAGGCCUUUAUGGUAGAGUUGCCAGACAGAAGACAGUCCUCAGUAAAAAGCACGACAGCCCAUUUCAAAUUUGCUAAAAGGCACAUAAAGGACUCAGACUAUGAGAAACAAGAUUCUCUGGUAUGAUGAAACCAAGAUUGAACUCUUUGGCCUGAAUGCAAAGCGUUACGUCUGGAGGGAAACUGGCACCAUCCCUACGGUGAAGCAUGAUGGUGGCAGCAUCAUGCUGUGGGGAUGUUUAACCAUCAGCAGGGACUGGGAGACUAGUCAGGAUAGAGGGAAAGAUGAAUGGAGCAAAGUACAGAGAGAUCCUUGAUGAAAACCUGAUCCAGAGCGCUCAGGACCUCAGACUGUGGUGAACAGGACAACCAAUCAAUCAAAUGUAUUUAUAAAGCCCUUCUUACAUCAGCUGAUGUCACAAAGUGCUGUACAGAAACCCAGCCUAAAACCCCAAACAGCAAGUAAUGCAGGUGUAGAAGCACGUUUGCUAGGAAAAACUCCCUAGAAAGGCCAGAACCUAGGAAGAAACCUAGAGAGGAACCAGGCUAUGAGGGUUGGCCAGUCCUCUUCUGGCUGUGCCGGGUGGAGAUCAUAACAGAACAUGGCCAAGAUAUUCAAAUGUUCAUAGAUGACCAGCAGGGUCAAAUAAUAAUAAUCACAGUGGUUGUAGAGGGUGCAACAGGCCAGCACCUCAGGAGUAAAUAUCAGUUGGCUUUUCAUAGCCGAUCAUUCAGAGUAUCUCUACCGCUCCUGCUGUCUCCAGAGAGUUCAAAACAGCAGGUCUGGGACAGGUAGGCACGUCCGGUGAACAGGUCAGGGUUCCAUAGGCAGAACAGUUGAAACUGGAGCAGCAGCACGACCAGGUGGACUGGGGACAGCAAGGAGACAUCAGGCCAGGUAGUCCUGAGGCAUGGUCCUAGGGCUCAGGUCCUCCGAAAGAAAGAAAGAAAGAAAGAAAGAAAGAAAGAAAGAAAGAAAGAAAGAAAGAAAGAAAGAAAGAAAGAAAGAAAGAAAGAAAGAAAGAAAGAAAGAAAGAAAGAAAGAAAAAGAGAGAGCAUACUUAAAUUCACAUGACACUGGAUAAGACAGGAGAAAUACUCCAGAUAUAACAGCCCCCCGACACAAACUAUUGCAGCAUAAAUACUGGAGGCUGAGACAAGAGGGGUCGGGAGACACUGGGGCCCCGUCCGAUGAUACCCCCGGACAGGGCCAAACAGGCAGGAUAUAACCCCACCCACUUUGCCAAAGCACAACCCCCACACCACUAGAGGGAUAUCUCCAACCACCAACUUACCAUCCUGAGACAAGGCCGAGUAUAGCCCACGAAGAUCUCCCCCACAGCACAACCCAAGGGGGGGAGCCAACCCGGACAGGAAGAUCACGCCAGUGACUCAACCCACUCAAGUGACGCACCCCUCCUAGGGACGGCAUGGAAGAGCACCAGUAAGCCAGUGACUAAGCCCCUGUAAUAGGGUUUGAGGCAGAGAAUCCCAGUGGAUCGAGGGGAACCGGCCAGGCAGAGACAGCAAGGGCGGUUCGUUGCGCCAGUGCCUUUUCGUUCACCUUCACACUCCUGUGCCAGACUACACUCAAUCAUAAGACCUACUGAAGAGAUGAGGACCAAAUCGGAAAGAUAGGUAGGUGCAAGCCCAUGUAAUGCUUUGUAGGUGAGCAGUAAAACCUUGAAAUCAGCCCUUGCCUUAACAGGAAGCCAGUGUAGAGGCUAGCACUGGAGUAAUAUGAUCAAAUCUUUUGGUUCUAGUCAAGAUUCUAGCAGCCGUGUUAAGCACUAACUGAAGUUUAUUUAUUGCUUUAUCUGAGUAGCCGGAAAGCAUUGCAGUAGUCUAACCUAGCAGUGACAAAAGCAUGGAUUAAUUUUCUGCAUACUUUUUGGACAGAAAGUUUCUGAUUUUUGCAAUGCUACGUAGAUGGAAAAAAUAUAUCCUUGAAACAGUCUGAUAUGUUCAUCAAAAGAGAGAUCAGGGUUCAGAGUAACGCCGAAGUCCUUCACAGUUUUAUUUGAGAGGACUGUACAACCAUCAAGAUUAAUUGUGGUUGGCAGCUGCAGAUAGGUAUUUGGGUGUGCGAGACUUGACAUCAGAAGAGUUACAGGGUGGUGAUGUCCCAUCCUUUCAGGUUGUUGGCCUGAGGUAGGAAUAAAUAGAUUUAAAUAGUGGAGUAGGGUGGUGUUAUUUAUAAUUUUUUGUGCAGUGUUAGACGGAAGGGAUUUUUUUAUUAAUUUUUUUCAAGCAAAGUAUAAGGGAGUUGUACUCCAGUAUAGCAGGUGACGGUAAUGCAACAUAUAUUGGAUGCCAACCGCCGUUAAAACUCAUCGAUGAAGAAGCUACAGGGUCGACUCCACCCAAAAUCUGUCCGCGCAGAUUAAGCGAAGUAAGGUGUUUUUCUUUUUGUAUGGGGGCAAUAGGAGAGUGUUACAUUUGGUCAAGAUAAAAGGGAAUUGCUAUUUGAUAGGUGAGGCUUAUUUGAUCGAAGCUAAAUAAUGCUUAGGUUGUUACAAGUGUAUUGGUAUGUGUCUAUAAAAUAUCAUUAACUAGACCGUUUCCUCCUGAUCUCGCCUUUGCAGACUUGUAUUUCCAUUGUUAGAGCGGACAGUCGACCAUCUUGUCAAUUAUAUUAGGUCUUCUUUGAUUAAGCAUAGGGAGAGCCUGCAUUUGCGUGCGCAGCUGUGACGUCGGGCCAACGAAUCCCAAGACCGGAGGACCCGGUUUGCGCUGUCGGCGUGCAUUUGUGUGUUACUGGAAACAUGUCGGCAAGGAUUGUGCACACCGGAAGAUCAAUGAAAUCCACCAAAACCUAAAGAACCAGUGCAAUUUCACAAUUUAAAAGAAUUUGACAUAGUCCUGGACCCUUUUCUACGGUUGUGUUACCUCUGACUCGCGUUUUAGCCUAUUCAGUGGUAGAAGUAUCCAAAACGAAUGGUGGAAGUCGAAUAGAGUCUCAAAGUAGGCUAGGCGGAGAGGAGAGUGAAGGGCUCGGCAGGUAGAGACGAGCGCUCGCUUUUGAGGAAUGUUAUCCGUACUCUCCUAUGGAAGACUGGUUGCGAGGGCUGUCCUAGGCGGACUCUCUCAAACUGAUGGUCGGGACUACAGCCUGGUCACAGCUAGUUGUGGGUUUGGGAAAGACUUUCGUAAGGGGAUAUUGAAGAAAGGGAUGUGCUACGGGGAUGACGCUUGUUUCAUUGCCCGGCAUAGGUCCGCCGAUGUAUUGGGUAAGUCUCACUUUAAUAUUCAAAUUAUCUGUUCGGUAAAGAUACCGUUAAAGUAGUCUAGUCGUUUAUUAUAAGAAAACAAAAGCCACCGUGAAAUGUGCAAGGUAUUUUGGGGAAUAAUAGGCCUAUAGCAUUUCCCACAUUUAACCUUCAAUGUGUAGCCUAGCAUGUGUCGCCAACCCAUGUCACGAAAACGAGGAUAUUCCUUACCUGAUUUAACCUCGUCUUAAAAGUUGUUAGUGUUUUCCGAUGUUUGCGUUCUACGGUAGAUUACAGCUGUGGUCUGUAGGCCUAUAAACUACCGAGAAACAUUGUGCCUGGGUUUACAAAAAAUGUAUACUUUGUUGAAGAGUAAUUGUAAAGACCUUUCACCUAGACGUAUGGACAGGCCCUCUUACCAGCGCUACUAGUGGCGAUAGUGUGAACAUGUACACAGUGAUAAUGUAUACACAGCUAUUUCAUGGCGUGACAAAUGUGGAAGUCGCACGUUGAUUGUGGCUAUAAAUUGUUAGUCUAUGAAUUGUUCCGCCAUUCGAUGCUAAGAACAAUAAGGUUCGUUGGAGGAGUUCAACAAAAUGUAUAAUUCUGUUAUGACAGCCUAUACCUUCAUAUUCAUUAGCCUUAGCCUACUUUGUUGUGGAUUUUACACACAUUUCACACACGCCUAGGGGAAACUCACUGUCCGGUGUUUUCUAAAGGUCAGAAUGGUUGAACAUGGAGGCAGCCAUGUUUCCAGGACCAAUUCACGUCUUAGACUGACGAGGGGGAAGUGCAUUGUCGUUUUACCAGUUCAUAGAAAAUAUCCGCCCAUAUCAUUAUCAAGUUCUUAUUUACCAGAUGUCACACAUUCAGAACGGUGCCUAAAGCAGGUUUGCACCACUGAGAUAUAAUAAAACCUGGAGAAUACGUCCACGAUGUCCGCCCGUUGUUUUCAAGGUGUGGCGGAUGGUGUAGGUGGAUGGAGGGACUACGGGGUGGACCCGUCCCAGUUCUCUGCCACCCUGAUGAGGACGUGUGAGCGGCUGGUGAAGGAGGGCCGCUUCACCCCCAGCAGCCCUGUGGGGAUCCUCACGUCAGGCUACUACGAGCUCCUACAGAACAAAGUACCCCUGCUAGGGAGCAGCACAGCCUGUAUCGUGGUUUUGGACCGACGAAGCCAUCAACUGCACACGUGUAAUCUAGGUGACUCAGGUUUCCUGGUGGUGCGAGGGGGAGAAGUUGUGCACCGCUCGGACGAACAGCAGCACUACUUCAACACCCCUUUUCAGCUGUCCAUUGCUCCCCCAGGUGCAGAGGGAGUGGUACUCAGUGACAGCCCUGAGGCCGCUGACAGCUCCUCCUUCGACGUCCAGCUGGGUGACAUCAUCCUGACUGCCUCGGAUGGCCUCUUCGACAACAUGCCCGACUACAUGAUCCUGCAAGAGCUCAAAAAGCUCAAGAGUACCAACUAUGACAGCAUCCAGCAGACCGCACAGAGCAUUGCAAAGCAAGCCCAUGAACUGGCCUAUGACCCCAACUACAUGUCCCCUUUCGCCCAGUUUGCUUGUGACAAUGGCCUGAAUGUAAGAGGGGGGAAGCCUGAUGACAUCACGGUGCUGCUGUCCAUUGUGGCAGAAUACACAGACUAAGUGUGUGUGAUGUUUAUUGGAACUGUUCACUUCCUUCCCUCUGUCAGUCUUCCACCUGGCUCCUUCUCAAAUGCAUUGCUUCCUGUCGGACAGAUUGGGUCGCCCCCCCCCAUCAUCCCUUCACUGACCUUUCCAUCUCACAGCCACAAAUUAGAACACGUACUCCUCACCACAGAAUUGGGCUCCAUCUCUAUUCUUCCAUUUUGUUUUGGUACUGUAGUGAGGAGGCAGGCUGCAAGGACUUUCUCAUGUUGAUCAUGAUGCAGAACGGAAUGUUGGUUCUUCACAUUCAGACUACGACUGAAUGGCAGUCCUGAGUGUAGGCGAGUUUGCUUUUGCAGGGAGUUGUGCUCGGUAGCCCUGAAACAAGCAGUGGUGUAAUAAACCAAGUAAGCCAUGCUUUGGAGUUGUUGGGGAGAUAUGGUUGUGUUGCCUAUACAUUUUGAUUGUCUGUCUGUGUUGUAGCUGUGUGACUAUCUGUUCCAAGUCGUCUGUGUGUGUGGAUGAAUUCUAAGACUGUGGAAUUGAGAGGAGCUGGGUUGUUGUGGGGUUUAGAGAGGUUACAGUGACUUGUGAUCAGAAAGGAUGUAGAUCAGCGUGUCAGGGUCUUGGAUUAGGAUAAAGGGGUAGCUGGCCAGUAUAAUGUACUAGCUAAGCUAGCAGAGAUCUCUCCAGAGUGCCACCUAUAGGCUAGUCUGAACUGUUCUGCUGGUGCGCACUUCCUCAUGGGUUUGUAAAUAGUGUGUGUCGUAACAAGGCAGAGAGUGUCUUCACUUUGUCACUGAUAAGGAUGGUUAUCCUGCUGUUGUGCCAGAUGUGUACACAGGCAUUCACAAUCUAUAAAGGGUUGAACCUUGAAGUAAAUACUCUCAAUCCCUCCCUUCCAUGGGCCGAAAGAACCACGAUGUUGACAUGUUCAUACCAUGAUCAUGUUUGACUUGGUAGUAGUGUGCCAGGGCCAUGAAAUGAUUGUGUGCGUGUAAAAAGUGUGUGUAGGUUCUUGUUUGAAUGUCUGUUGUUGAUAUGUGUUAACUUGCAAUGCUAAUGGUAGCAUCUAGGAAUGCUUUCAACCGAAACAGCUAGGUCAGGUAUGAAUUAUUAAACAAAGUUUUAUUUUUAUAACUUAAUGUUAUUAGUUUGAUAGCCAUUGAUGUGACAGUUGAAAUGUCAUCCAACAUAUGGAUUCACCCUGUGAUUCUUUUGUGAAGCUAUAUUUUCCUCCAUGGAUGGCAAAUAAGAAUCAUGCCAUCUUACUAUUAAGCAAGAAUCAGUCUCUGUGUGGUGGGUGUCAUCUCAAAAUAGUUUUUGUUCUGUCUCCCAAUAACAAUUUACCUGCUGCUUUUAUUUUGUCAAUUAAAUGUGUUUAAUACUGUACAUUAUUUAUGUAUAUAUAUAUAUAUAUAUAUAUAUGUGUGUGUGUGUGUGUGUGUGCAAUUUCAUUAUUUCAUGAAAGCUAGAAGUUGAUCUUCCUGUUCUGGUCUUAGCAUGCUUUUGGUUCUUCUUCAUAAUAGCAGAAUACACACCCGUCUGCAUUGUUAGCCAAUGUUUGCUCUGUUAUGAAGCCAGCGUACCAAAGAGGAAAACGUAUUUUCUUUCAUGAUUUCAUUUGGGUUUGGAGAAAUAUCUGCACCUAUACUGUAACAUAAAAUGUAUUUUAAAAUUGAGAGCAUAUCAGUUUGACAGUUAAACCGUCAUUCUGCUUGUGGAGAACGAUGGCCACUCAUAUUUUCGGUGCAAAACAGUCAGAAGACCACUUAGAUGUCUUUUUAGAAGUGCCUAAAAUGCAAUGUGACCAGAACGGGUUUGAUCGUGUGUGUGGCUCUAGUUAUGUGACAGGUAGUAUAUGAGAAACAAACAACAAUGCAGGUUUUUGAAUCCUUAAAGAAACCAAAGAAGGAAAGCCAUAGCUUCACAAGCAUGACCAGGGUACAGCUUCUUAUCUAAACCCUGCAGUCAGGCUAACAGUGUAAUGGAGACCAAUGUUGUCACUAUUGAUCUAGCUUAUUUUAGCAUACAAAUAAUUGAAAAGAACAUCAAUUGUUACAUUAUGUUUGUGGAGUAAAUACUAUUUAAAUUUGGUUUAAGUAUUUUUUUUUGGUAGCCUUUGAGACUUAAUUUCAUGAAUUUCAUCUGUCCUAUGCAUUCUGUCUUUGCAUGUCAAGCUGUCUUUGUCCAAGCUAUUUGUACUAUUGGAAUUUGCUUACCUGCAAAUGUGCCCCUGUCACACACAGCUUGCCUCGCCUCCAAAUGUCUGUCUGAUUAGCUCACCUUCAUUUUAAGGUUGUCUUUCAAACACUUAAACAUGCAAUUUUAGUAACACAACUCUCAUUUUUUUUUACUCUUUUUGACAGUGAGGGUUCAGUAUGUGUUAAUGAAUAAUUAGCUUAAUACCUGAUCUGAUUUUGAGAUGAAGUCAUCCUCUAUGUUUAAGGACACUUUUCUGUUACAUGUGCUGAACCAGGAAGGGCAGGGCAGGUUGUAGUGCUGUUUAUUGAUAAUGGUGAGGACCGAUUCCGCCUUAACAAAUAGAUCUGUACCAUCCUAUCAAGAGGCCUUGUCUGGCAAUGCAAGCCAGUCUCGUUUCGACUUGUAUGUUGCUCAGUGUUCAAUUAUGUCCCUCUCCUCUUUUUCUGUCCAUUCUGAGUUUUUCGGUGGUGCUUCUGCAGUCAAGACAAUUAUUUUUUUUUCUCUAGCAAGCAAUGUUUCAGUAUGAAAGCUACAUGCGUGUUAAGUGUAAUAAUGCAGAACUAGUUUCUGUAAAUAUGUUUUCAAAGUUGUAAAAUAUUCAAAUAAAGAAUCUAGUAUUUGUACUAAAAUACAUG